CAGUCGCCACGGUAAUACGUAGGUGGCAAGCGUUGUCCGGAAUUAUUGGGCGUAAAGGGCUCGCAGGCGGUUUCUUAAGUCCGAUGUGAAGCCCCCGGCUCAACCGGGGAGGGUCAUUGGAAACUGGGAAACUUGAGUGCAGAAGAGGAGAGCGGAAUUCCACGUGUAACGGUGAAAUGCGUAGAGAUGUGGAGGAACACCAGUGGCGAAGGCGACUCUCUGGUCUGUAACUGACGCUGAGGAGCGAAAGCGUGGGAAGCGAACAGGAUUAGAUACCCCCGUAGUCCCUGUCUCUUAUACA
rnacentral:rRNA from 1 species